CGCUGGCGGCGUGCUUAACACAUGCAAGUCGAGCGAGGGGCUUCGGCUCCUAGCGGCGAACGGGUGAGUAACACGUGGGCAACCUGCCUCGAGCUCUGGAAUAACCUCGGGAAACCGGGGCUAAUGCCGGAUAUGACGCUACCGGGCAUCUGGUGGUGUGGAAAGAUUUAUCGGCUCGAGAUGGGCCCGCGGCCUAUCAGCUUGUUGGUGGGGUGAUGGCCUACCAAGGCGACGACGGGUAGCCGGCCUGAGAGGGCGACCGGCCACACUGGGACUGAGACACGGCCCAGACUCCUACGGGAGGCAGCAGUGGGGAAUAUUGCGCAAUGGGCGGAAGCCUGACGCAGCGACGCC
rnacentral:rRNA from 1 species